CCUACGGGAGGCAGCAGUGAGGAAUAUUGGUCAAUGGACGAGAGUCUGAACCAGCCAAGUAGCGUGAAGGAUGACUGCCCUAUGGGUUGUAAACUUCUUUUAUCUGGGAAUAAAACAGGGUAUGCAUACCCUCUUGUAUGUACCAUAUGAAAAAGGAUCGGCUAACUCCGUGCCAGCAGCCGCGGUAAUACGGAGGAUCCGAGCGUUAUCCGGAUUUAUUGGGUUUAAAGGGAGCGUAGGUGGAUUGUUAAGUCAGUGGUGAAAGUUUGGGGCUCAACCCUAAAAUUGCAGUUGAAACUGGCAGUCUUGAGUACAGUAGAGGUGGGCGGAAUUCGUGGUGUAGCGGUGAAAUGCUUAGAUAUCGCGAAGAACUCCGAUUGCGAAGGCAGCUCACUGGACUGCAACUGACACUGAGGCACGAAAGUGUGGGUAUCGAACAGGAUUAGAUACCCUUGUAGUC
rnacentral:rRNA from 1 species